CCUUCGGGUCGUAAAGCCCUUUCGUGUGGAAAGAACAGUCCCGCGGUUAAUACCCGCAGGAUCUGACGGUACCACAGGAAGAAGCACCGGCUAACUCCGUGC
rnacentral:rRNA from 1 species